rnacentral:rRNA from 1 species
CAAUAGCGUAUAUUAAAGUUGUUGCGGUUAAAAAGCUCGUAGUUGGAUUUCUGCCGAGGACGUCCGGUCCGCCCUCUGGGUGUGUACAUGGUACGGCCUGGGCAUCUUCUUGGAAAACGUAUCUGCACUUGACUGUGUGGUGCGGUAUCCAGGACUUUUACUUUGAGGAAAUUAGAGUGUUUCAAGCAGGCCUACGCCUUGAAUACAUUAGCAUGGAAUAAUAAGAUAGGACCUCGGUUCUAUUUUGUUGGUUUCUAGAGCUGAGGUAAUGAUUAAUAGGGAUAGUUGGGGGCAUUCGUAUUUAACUGUCAGAGGUGAAAUUCUUGGAUUUGCUAAAGACGGACUACUGCGAAAGCAUUUGCCAAGGAUGUUUUCAUUGA